rnacentral:misc_RNA from 1 species
AAAAGUCGUAACAAGGUUUCCGUAGGUGAACCUGCGGAAGGAUCAUUCAAAAGAAAAACACAUUUAUGUUGUUUACCUUUGUGCAAAGUAAAUAAAUUUACUCAAUUUUAUAACUUGACUGAAAAUUUUUCAUUAUUUUAAUUGAACAUUGAAGAUAACUUCUGUUGUUUUCAAUAAGUAGAUUAUAUUUGAAUCUUAUACAACUUUUAACAAUGGAUCUCUUGGCUCUCG